rnacentral:siRNA from 1 species
AUAAAGUGCCUCAAACGUAAA